UUGUUGGAUCAUCAUGGUUAGCUUUGAAUAUAUAGUAUUAUAUAAUUCCUACAUAUUAUUUUUUAUUAGCUUAUUUUUUAUCUUUUGAAAACAUGGGAAAUUCAGCACAGUUUUUAAGAUCAAUUGGUACCAAUCUAUACAAUAAUUUGAUUAUAUAAAUUAUAAACAUUUUCUGCGCAUUUUAUUGCAUUGAUAUCUCAAACAUCGUAAUAUUAUGCGUGAGAAUUACCUAUCAGAAUAACUCGCUAGUGGAGUGGUAUAAUGGUAGUCCGAUUUCGAGCCAAUCGGAGACGAGAUGGAAAUCAAUGUAAUUAUAGAAGAACCAACGAGAAUUCGUUGAAGACGCGCAUGCGCAUAUCCAGUUUCACAUCGAGCUAUCUCUAAUUUCCUUUGCCUGAUUUCUAUUGUCAACAUUAUGAUUAUUGCAAAUACGACGUUUUAUUUAAUAAUUAUAUAUAAUUAUUGAAAUAAAUAUAUUUAUAUAUAGUAUUAUUUUAGAAUUAAUUAAUUACAUUCAAAUAAAACAAUCCACAUCGAAAUAAUAAAACUAAAAUAUAUUUCUAUA